rnacentral:rRNA from 1 species
GACGAACCGAGCGAACGUUGUUCGGAAUCACUGGGCUUAAAGGGCGCGUAGGCGGGUGCUCAAGUCCGGGGUGAAAUCCCACAGCUCAACUGUGGAACUGCCUCGGAUACUGGGUGUCUCGAGGGUGGCAGGGGUAUGCGGAACUAUCGGUGGAGCGGUGAAAUGCGUUGAUAUCGAUAGGAACUCCGGUGGCGAAGGCGGCAUACUGGUCCACUUCUGACGCUGAGGCGCGAAAGCCAGGGGGAGCAAACGGGG